ACAGGACUCAGAAGCUGCUAUCGAAAAACCCAAAGAAUCCUUAUGAGGAGUCGAGCAGAGACGUGAGGAGUCGCAGGCCUGCUGACACUGAGGAUGGGAUGUCCUCUUGCCCUCAACCUUGGGGUCAAUGCAACCAACUUCAUGGAGGCAGGAGCCCCGGUUAUGUGGAAUGGGCACAGAGCAAGGCUGCUGGAUUCCAGUAUCCAGUGAUAAGGGCUCCUGUCCCCAGAAUUUUCCCUCUUGGUGUGAUUGCACAGAAUUUGUAUGUAUUUUCAGUUACAAGAUUGUAAGUAAAUUGCCUGAUUUAUUUUCAUUAUAGACAAC
rnacentral:sRNA from 1 species